rnacentral:rRNA from 14 species
UCAGCAGGACAACCCGCUGAACUUAAGCAUAUCACUAAGCGGAGGAAAAGAAACUAACCAGGAUUGCCUCAGUAACUGCGAGUGAACCGGCACCAGCCCAGCCUGUGAAUCGCGCAAGCGACUUGUGGAGUGGAGACUUGUCCCUGACCCUGCUGGUGUGAGUGUAACUUGGUUGGAAUGCCAGGCCGCAGAGGGUGCAAGCCCCGUGCCGCUCACGCUGCAGACAAGGGAGAGUUCGAAGAGUCGGGUAGUUCGGGACUGCUGCCCUAAGUGGGAGAUAGACUUCUUCCAAGGCUAAAUAACGACGAGAGACCGAUAGCGAACAAGUACUGUGAAGGAAAGAUGCAAA